rnacentral:rRNA from 1 species
GCGUAAGCGCACGCAGGCGGUCUGUCAAGUCGGAUGUGAAAUCCCCGGGCUCUUCCUGGGAACUGCAUUCGAAACUGGCAGGCUAGAGUCUUGCAGAGGGGGGUAGAAUUCCAGGUGUAGCGGUGAAAUGCGUAGAGAUCUGGAGGAAUACCGGUGGCGAAGGCGGCCCCCUGGACAAAGACUGACGCUCAGGUGCGAAAGCGUGGGGAGCAAACAGGAUUAGAUACCCUGGUACUCCACGCCGUAAACGAUGUCGACUUGGAGGUUGUGCCCU